rnacentral:rRNA from 1 species
CAGCCGCCACGGUAAAACGAACAGUGCGAACGUUAUUCGGAAUUACUGGGCUUAAAGCGCGUGUAGGCGGGCCGCCACGUCGGUUGCUGAAAUCCCCCGGCUCAACCGGGGAAGUGGCAUCGAUACGAGCGGCCUUGAGGGGGGUAGGGGGAUCUGGAACUUCCGGUGGAGCGGUGAAAUGCGUUGAGAUCGGAAGGAACGCCCGUGGCGAAAGCGAGGUCCUGGACCCUUUCUGACGCUGAGACGCGAAAGCCAGGGGAGCGAACGGGAUUAGAUACCCCGGUAGUCCCUGUCUCUUAUU